UCACGGUAGAGUUAUCUCUCUUUCCACAGCCAUGGAGUCUCCAAAAAACCCAACUAAAGGAGUGUACACUUUCCUUAGUCGGUUGGUAGGUAGUUUCAUCUUCUAAAAGGCAUCGUAAAAUAGCAUAUCAGCUAAGCUUCCAUUAUCCUUUCAUAUUAUAGUUGGCCAUGGUCAUCAUUCCGAUAAUAGCACCAUCAUGGGGUUCUGUACUCCAUGGAGAUCA
rnacentral:lncRNA from 1 species